rnacentral:rRNA from 1 species
UACAGAGACUGCAAGCGUUAUUCGGAUUCACUGGGCGUAAAGGGUGCGCAGGCGGCCAAGUGUGUGAGGCGUGAAAGCCCGGGGCUUAACUCCGGAAUUGCACCUCAAACUACAUGGCUAGAGCAUUGGAGAGGGUAGCAGAAUUCACGGUGUAGCAGUGAAAUGCGUAGAUAUCGUGAGGAAUACCAGAGGCGAAGGCGGCUACCUGGACAAUUGCUUACGCUCAGGCACGAAAGCGUGGGGAGCAAAAGGG